AGCAGCCGCGGUAAUUCCAGCUCCAAUAGCGUAUAUUAAAGUUGUUGCAGUUAAAAAGCUCGUAGUUGAAUUUCGGAAUUUGUCGGUUGGUCGGGCUUCACUGUCCGCACUGACCUGAUGGAUUCCUACCUUCUGAAUAACCAGCAUGCUAUUAAGUUAGUGCGUUGGGGAAGCAGAGCUAUUACCUUGAAAAAUUAGAGUGCUUAAAGCAGGCUUGUGCUUGAAUAGAUUAGCAUGGAAUAAUAAAAUAGGACGGCAUGGUUCUAUUUUGUUGGUUUCUAGGAUCACCGUAAUGAUUAAUAGGGAUAGUUGGGGGCAUUAGUAUUCAAUUGUCAGAGGUGAAAUUCUUGGAUUUAUUGAAGACUAACUUCUGCGAAAGCAUUUGCCAAGGAUGUUUUCAUUAAUCAAGAACGAAAGUUAGGGGAUCGAAGACGAUCAGAUACCGUCGUAGUCUUAACCAUAAACUAUGCCGACUAGGGAUCGGACGAUGUUUAAUUUUUAAUG
rnacentral:rRNA from 1 species